rnacentral:lncRNA from 1 species
UGCAUCCAAUUUGGUGUAUUCUUAUUAGGCCAGGUGGUCGUCCUCUAUUUCGAAAGGCGUCUCCGUUCUCGCCCACUUCCAUUUAAAGGUCGAGAUUUUUUUGAGUGCGUCGGUUACUCCCUAUUUAUGGCUCAAUUCUGUAUUAGCUAUUCGGCCUCUCAGGGGGGCAAUAUAUUGUCUUAAAUAGUAAAACCUUUCAUUACUUUUUAGGUGAAAUCAGUUAAAAUCCUAAUAUCUUGAUUUAGUCCCUUAUAUAAAUUAAUCACGACAAUCGAGUUGGUAAAAAAGGGUUAACUGACUCGACUAACCCCCCACUAUCCGUUAUCAACACGCUCGUAACCAAAAAUCUCAUUAAAAUGGAAAUUUUGUUAAAAAGUGGAUUUCUAGUAUUAGGAUAGCAGAAAUUAAAAGAGUUUUACGCUCCUUUGAAAGUGGAUAACUUUUGAACGGAGCGUCGUAUCAAAAUGAAAAAAGUACCGUUGGAUAGGAAAUUACAAGACUUUUCCAUAGAUACCCUACACAAUAUACCUACGAAGCCAGGGAAAAAAGUUAAUUUUUCUGUGCGAAAAGUUAAUUUUUUCAUAUCGGUUAUAUCCGACGUUGUAGGAAGAAGAUAAAAAACUGUUGUGGACUCGGCUGUAAAAACUCCAUCGAAAGACACCCAACAACGCACACUUCCCUCCCACCAGAAAAAAUGUACCUCUGUAAGAUAAAUAUAUUCUAGAGUUUUUUCCAGUCUGAUGUGUCUCUAUUUUUGUAGAGAGGUUAUAACAUGUAUGAUCUCCGUUUUUCUAGUAUUCUCAUUUUGGGGUAGCCCCAUUUGUUAAUUUUCUUCUUUUAAGUCUUAGUGUGCCAUCACUUUAGGUAUUCAGGCUUAUUAUCGUCAUUUAUAAAAAUAGAAAUCGAAACUAGUCUGCAUCUGUUUUUUAUGUCAUCUAAGCGAAUCGGUCGUUUGAGAAACCCGAUAUGUUCAAAAAUCAGUUUUUUUGCUAACCUUAGACGUAGAGUCGUAUGUUUCAAAAGAAACCCGAACCUAUGUAACAUUCUAAACGAAGCUAGAGACUUGAGAAAUUUGUAUCAAGAGAACCCGGCUAUUCCGAGAUGUUUUUCACAACAUGUUUACAUGUGGGAUUUUUUUAAGAGACCGAUUCAAUUAUUUUCUUUACUUUCAGGUUCUAUCCCUCAAUGCGUAUUUGUUAUCAUGAAAGUAUUGAAAUAUUAUCAGUAAAAUAUUGUUUGUUUAACUUUUAGAUAACAACUGCAAAAGGAAACAUUGUAUUUUCCCAAAAAGUUUGUGGACCCGUAUACAUAACUUUACAAUUUUUAGCGAGCAGUUUAAGCGUUGGCAUUGUCUCGCAUCUCCCCCCACUCCUCGUCGUCAGUGCCUCCCCCAAUCGGUAGGCCUUCUGCCCCGCUCAGGUCAGAUCCCCCAAUUUGUAGGCCUGCUACCUCGUUCCCCCACAGUGUACUGCGCCUGUUCCUGUCCCAAUUUGUAGGCCUUCUGCCUCGUUCCCCACACAGUCUACUGCGCAUUUUCUUGCACCAAUCUCCACACCUGCUUCUUUAUACGCUGAAGAUGAAAAUUGGGAUGAUGAAUGUCAUCAUCCCUCAUAUUUAGAACAGAUAAAAUACAUCGCAUUAUCAAAUCCAAUAAUCAGGACGCCCCCUCCAAAAUUAUCUAAAACGGAGAAAAAAAUAUUUAGGCAUGUGGAGAGAAUUCGCCACCAACACAUGCCAGAAUGAAACAAGUUGCAGUAAGCAACUUGUUUAAGUUUAAGCACCUCUCCUUUCAUUAUUCUCCCCCACUCUUCCAAAAAUUAUUUUUCAUUGAUAUGUGUUCUGUAUAUUUCUAGUAUGUCUCUAGUAUCUUUUAUAUACCAAUUUCUCCCCACACUCUUCAAAAAUUAUCUGUCAUUCACCCAUAUGUCCUGCAUAACUUCAUCGGUGUCGAUCGGCUUGUUUUCUCUGAUGUGGUGGCUUUUGCUUGUGCCCUGUAGAGUUUUAUAUCGAGGUCCUUCAAACCCUAGAAGAGUCAUCAUCCAUCAUAGUUAGGACAUAUACAAUACGUUGCAUUAUCAAAACCGAUCAUCAGGACACCCCCUCCAAAAUUAUCUAAAAACGGAGAAAAAAUUUUUUAGGCAGGUGGAGAGAAUUCGCCACCAACACGUGCCAGACUUAACAAGUUGUAGUAAGCAACUUGUUUAAGUUUAAGCACCUCUCCUCCUGCCUUUCAUUAUUCUCCCCCACUCUUCCAAAAAUUAUUUUUCAUUGAUAUGUGUUCUGUAUAUUUCUAGUAUGUCUCUAGUAUCUUUUAUAUACCAAUUUCUCCCCACUCUCGUCAAAAAUUAUCUGUCAUAUGUCCUACAUAACUUCAUCGGUGUCGAUCGGCUUGUUUUCUCUGAUGUGAUGGCUUUUGCUUGUGCCCUGUAGAGUUUUAUAUCGAGGUCCUUCAAACCCUAGAAGAGUCAUCAUCCAUCAUAGUUAGGACAUAUACAAUACGUUGCAUUAUCAAAACCGAUCAUCAGGACACCCCCUCCAAAAUUAUCUAAAAACGGAGAAAAAAUUUUUUAGGCAGGUGGAGAGAAUUCGCCACCAACACGUGCCAGACUUAACAAGUUGUAGUAAGCAACUUGUUUAAGUUUAAGCACCUCUCCUCCUGCCUUUCAUUAUUCUCCCCCACUCUUCCAAAAAUUAUUUUUCAUUGAUAUGUGUUCUGUAUAUUUCUAGUAUGUCUCUAGUAUCUUUUAUAUACCAAUUUCUCCCCACUCUCGUCAAAAAUUAUCUGUCAUAUGUCCUACAUAACUUCAUCGGUGUCGAUCGGCUUGUUUUCUCUGAUGUGGUGGCUUUUGCUUGUGCCCUGUAGAGUUUUAUAUCGAGGUCCUUCAAACCCUAGAAGAGUCAUCAUCCAUCAUAGUUAGGACAUAUACAAUACGUUGCAUUAUCAAAACCGAUCAUCAGGACACCCCCUCCAAAAUUAUCUAAAAACGGAGAAAAAAUUUUUUAGGCAGGUGGAGAGAAUUCGCCACCAACACGUGCCAGACUUAACAAGUUGUAGUAAGCAACUUGUUUAAGUUUAAGCACCUCUCCUCCUGCCUUUCAUUAUUCUUCUAUGCCAAUGCUUCCCCACUCUUCCAAAAAUUAUUUUUCAUUUAUAUGUGUUCUGUAUAUUUCUAGUAUGCCUCUAGUAUCUUUUUUAUACCAAUUUCUCCCCACACUCUUCAAAAAUUAUCUGUCAUUCACCCAUAUGCCCUGCAUAACUCCAGCGGUGGCUUUUGCUUGUGCCCUGUAGAGUUUUAUAUCGAGGCCUUCAAACCCUAGAAGAGUCAUCAUCCAUCAUAGUUAGGACAUAUACAAUACGUUGCAUUAUCAAAACCGAUCAUCAGGACACCCCCUCCAAAA